rnacentral:rRNA from 1 species
AUUGAACGCUGGCGGCAGGCCUAACACAUGCAAGUCGAGCGGAUGAAGGGUGCUUUCUCCUGGAUUCAGCUUCGGACGGGUGAGUAAUUCCUAGGAAUCUGCCUGGUAGUGCGGGAUUACGUCCGUUAACGGGCGCUAAUACCGCAUACGUCCUUUGGUUGCAUGUGUUGGUUCUUCUGUCCUCUCGCUUUCUGAUGAGCCUAGGUCGUAUUAGCUAGUUGGUGGGGUAAAGGCCUACCAAGGCGACGAUCCGUAACUGGUCUGAGAGGAUGAUCAGUCACACUGGAAGUGAGAAAGGGAACAGAAUACUACGGGAGGGAGCAGAGGGGAAUAGUGGAGAAGGGGGGAAAGGGUGAUACAGGAAAGGGGCGUGUGAGAAGAAGGACGAAGGAUUGGAAAGCACUUGAAGUUGGGAGGAAGGGAAGUAAGAUAAUAGAUGGAUGUAAUGACGGUAACAAAAGAAUAAGCAACGGCUAACUACGUG